AUUGAACGCUGGCGGAAUGCUUUACACAUGCAAGUCGAACGGCAGCAUAGGUGCUUGCACCUGAUGGCGAGUGGCGAACGGGUGAGUAAUACAUCGGAACGUGCCCAGUCGUGGGGGAUAACGUAGCGAAAGUUACGCUAAUACCGCAUACGAUCUACGGAUGAAAGCGGGGGACCGUAAGGCCUCGCGCGAUUGGAGCGGCCGAUGUUAGAUUAGGUAGUUGGUGGGGUAAAGGCUCACCAAGCCGACGAUCUAUAGCUGGUCUGAGAGGAUGAUCAGCCACACUGGGACUGAGACACGGCCCAGACUCCUACGGGAGGCAGCAGUGGGGAAUUUUGGACAAUGGGCGCAAGCCUGAUCCAGCCAUUCCGCGUGCAGGACGAAGGCCUUCGGGUUGUAAACUGCUUUUGUACAGAACGAAAAGCCUUGGGUUAAUACCCUGAGGUCAUGACGGUACUGUAAGAAUAAGCACCGGCUAACUACGUGACG
rnacentral:rRNA from 1 species